rnacentral:rRNA from 1 species
UACGUAGGUUCCGAGCGUUAUCCGGAUUUACUGGGCGUAAAGCGCGUGUAGGCGGCCACGCAGGUCCGUUGUGAAAACUAGAGGCUCAACCUCUAGACGUCGACGGAAACCGUGUGGCUAGAGUCCGGAAGAGGAGAGUGGAAUUCCUGGUGUAGCGGUGAAAUGCGCAGAUAUCAGGAAGAACACCAAUGGCGAAGGCAGCUCUCUGGGACGGUACUGACGCUGAGACGCGAAAGCGUGGGGAGCGAACAGG